UAACUGAGGAGUGCUGUGCCUGGCUGUGUGCUGCAACAUUGAUCAAUACAGGAACCUUGACCAGUCUGAGGGGUAGAGACAACCACACUAGUAAAUGGUCUGACCCAUAACUGUUAUAUGGAGCUGCACCAGUUGGAGACGUCGUUAGAGAUGGGCAGGGCCCACUUGUAAGGUUGAAGAUAUUGCCUGUGUGAAGGCGAUGUGGUGGGCAGCUGCAAGUCUUCAGAAUGUCAUCACCAGCAGCAACACGCCAAAACAGUCUGCAAAGAUACAAGGUGAUGGAACUGGAGGAGCUGGAGGUGUUGAUGGUGUGGUGGAUGGCAGAGGAGUGACUAGUGGCGCCACUGCUCUUGACCUCCAUGGUUAAAUGGCGCCAUUAACCUGGAGGGGGAUGGGAUGACGUCAGUGGUUGUUUGUGGGGCGGGGGAAGG